rnacentral:misc_RNA from 1 species
GAUGAAGAACGUAGCGAAAUGCGAUAAGUAGUGUGAAUUGCAGAAUUCAGUGAAUCAUCGAAUAUUUGAACGCACAUUGCGCCCUUUGGUAUUCCAAAGGGCAUGCCUGUUCGAGCGUCAUUUGUACCCUCAAGCUUUGCUUGGUGUUGGGCGUCUUGUCUCUAGCUUUGCUGGAGACUCGCCUUAAAGUAAUUGGCAGCCGGCCUACUGGUUUCGGAGCGCAGCACAAGUCGCACUCUCUAUCAGCAAAGGUCUAGCAUCCAUUAAGCCUUUUUUUCAACUUUUGACCUCGGAUCAGGUAGGGAUACCCGCUGAACUUAAGCAUAUCAAUAAGCGGAGGA